rnacentral:rRNA from 1 species
UACGGAGGGGGCUAGCGUUGUUCGGAAUUACUGGGCGUAAAGCGCGCGUAGGCGGACCUGCAAGUCGGGGGUGAAAGCCCGAGGCUCAACCUCGGAACUGCCUUCGAUACUGCGGGUCUCGAGUCCGGGAGAGGUGAGUGGAAUUCCUAGUGUAGAGGUGAAAUUCGUAGAUAUUAGGAAGAACACCAAUGGCGAAGGCAGCUCGCUGGGACGUGACUGACGCUGAGACGCGAAAGCGUGGGGAGCAAACAGG